UACGUGAGGUGCGAGCGUUAAUCGGAAUUACUGGGCGUAAAGCGUGCGCAGGCGGUUCUGAAAGUCAGCUGUGAAAGCCCCGGGCUUAACCUGGGAAUGGCGGUUGAAACUACAGGACUAGAAUCUGGCAGAGGGGGGUGGAAUUCCACGUGUAGCAGUGAAAUGCGUAGAGAUGUGGAGGAACACCGAUGGCGAAGGCAGCCCCCUGGGCUGAGAUUGACGCUCAGGCACGAAAGCGUGGGGAGCAAACAGG
rnacentral:rRNA from 1 species